GAAGGGUGCAAGCGUUGUUCGGAUUUAUUGGGCGUAAAGCGCGCGCAGGCGGAAUUGUAAGCCAGGUGUGAAAUCUCGAGGCUCAACCUCGAAACUGCGCCUGGAACUGUGGUUCUAGAAUUCUGGAGAGGGAAGGGGAAUUUCACGUGUAGGGGUAAAAUCCGUAGAGAUGUGAAGGAACACCAGAGGCGAAGGCGCCUUCCUGGCCAGACAUUGACGCUGAGGCGCGAAAGCGUGGGGAGCAAACAGGGAUUAGAUACCCUGGUAGUCCACGCCGUAAACGAUGAGAACUAGCUAUUACGGGAAUUAACCCCCUGUAGUGGCGCAGCUAACGCAUUAAGUUCUCCGCCUGGGGAGUACGGUCGCAAGACUA
rnacentral:rRNA from 1 species